rnacentral:piRNA from 1 species
GCGACUGAAAGAAAGAACUGAGC